GAGGGUGUAGCUCAUGUGGUAGAGCGUGUGCUUAGCAUGCAAGAGGUCCUGGGUUCAAUCCCCAGUAGCUCCU
rnacentral:tRNA from 1 species